GGAGAAAUUGUUUGAAUAAGGGUGCUGGAAAUCAUUGAAUUUUCAGAGUGUUAUUGGCAGCGAAACAAUUCGAACGUAUUUUGCUGGCUGGAAAGCAACCUCUGAUGGCUGGCUUCAUUUAGCCAACCAUUAGAUUGAAUUCUUCACUAAAUCGAAUACUACUGGCGACAAAAGAACACCGCCACAGUUCGCUUGGAAAAGAUAUAAUUCCGAGUUAAUAACAGACCAGUUGCACUCUCAAUAGGUAAACGGAAGAUGAUUUUUUUUCUUUUUUUUUCAUUCGAUUUUGUGGAGAAAAUUCCCUGUAAUGUAUUCGAAGCACUGUUGAGUUUGUAAACAUUCAAUAAUCGAUUUGUCGAAAGUACAAUUUUCAGACCUGACACCAAACGAAAAUUGAAUUUGAGUAUCCACUCGAACUUGUGUGCAUUCGGGAACACGGUCUACAACUACAUUCAAUUUUGUUUCUUUUUCAUUUGAAUAUUCUUUAACCAAACGGCUGUCUGCAAAUCAAUAUUUAAAUCUGUUUUGCCAACCGAUAUGCUAUGAAAUUGUUCUUGAAUUUCUUUAGUUCGCUCCAAGUUUUGUUUAUCUUAGUUUCUUACCCUAGAUGUCCUUGAAAGGUCCAAAUUUUUUUUUAUCAAUGUUUGUUUGCACUACAAUGUCUGUAACUUGUGUUUCGUUUCAGGGAGUUGCGGGAAAUGUUAAAACUCAACUAAAAACAAGAAUGAUAUAUUCGUGCGAGCCCGAAUAGGAUAAAAUUUACCUGAUUCUAUUAUGUACUUUUACAACGUCCACUUCAAAUUUCGUGAUAUUUCGCUAAUUUUAAUCAAAUACUUGGAAGAAUACUCUAAAUUCUUUCUCCUGUUUACCAUGACGAUGACCCAUGAUCCGUAAUGAGCAAACAUGAAUUUUGAAAAAAUUCGAUUUGAAUCUGACUUUUAGACAUUACGAGAAGUGAUUCAAUUAAAAAAUGCAUUUCGUAAAUAAUUUUCAAAAAGUAAUCUGUUUCUUUCGAACGUUGCAAGAAUAAAUUCAAAACCAAUAAAUAAAAAUUCCAUUUAGUUACUUAUCUGCGCAAUCAUUGUUCGUUCGUCAAAAAAUAAUUUCAAAUUCGAAUAGUCUAUCCUUUCAAACAAAAGUGUUGUAUUUUUGUAAGAUUUGUACACGAAUCCUCCAAACGCUCUCACAAACACAUUCACUUCACAUGUGUUUCGCAUGUGUUUCACAUGUAUUCCGCAUUUGUUUCACAUUCGGCAUUCAAAUGUGAAUUAAAUGUACAUCACAUUUCGUUUAAUCGUCACAUUUGCACAAUUAGCGAUGAAUUUCAUCAAACUUUUGUCACAUCCUAAUACUUUGGACCCAAAUGCACCGAUAUGUGCAAUAAAAUUGAAUACAUUGUGUUAUUAUAAGGCCAAAUGUGCGGAUCACAUAUGGGCAAAUGUGUCAUAUCAGGCAAAUUUGGCCAUUUUGCAUGCUCACAUUCACCUAAAUUAAAAAUUAUUUUUGUCAAAACUCAAUUGCAACCUGAUUCUAUGUUCCUUAAACUAUUUAAAUGUGGUGUAGAUGUGUCAAAAUAUUGCGUAGAUUUGCUGUACGUGCUAAUCAAACAUUUUUUGUCGUCACAUUUGAUUCACAGGAGAUGUACAUUUGAUGUACAUUUGAUGUACAUGUGAUGUACAUGUGAUUUACAUUGUAUGCCAUAUUAAACGAACAUGUUUUGAGUGCGUUCAAAGAGGAGAGUGUUUAGUGACAAGUCGAUAUGAACGUCUACACUGAUGUAAUUGGCACAGAAUUUUUGAACACUUUUAUAAAAAGCUUUCUUUCUGCAUUUUUAGUGAAAUUUGAAAUUUUAUUGAUCGUUUACCAACGGCGACUUAUUCGUUCGAAUAAAAUGAUUUUUUUAAGCAGCAAUUAUGAAAACUAAAUUUUUAUUCUUAUUUUGUUUGUAUGUCGAAAAACGAGAUUCAUUGUGACUCUAGUUUAUGUUCACUCAUAUUUUCAUGGUUCCUGAGAUCAGAUUUUUGAAGAAUAAAAAAUCAAUCAACGAGGAAUUUUUUCAAUGUUCUAUUGUUGUUAAUGCUAGAUUUGUUGAAUAAAUGUUCUGGGUAAAAUAUUAAAGUAAACAAAAUAAAAGUUAAUUUGAUCGAAUUUGUUGCAAGCUACGAAUACAUUCUUGCCUUUAGAUAGUAGUUAACAUUUCCCGCAACUCCCAGAAAUAAAUAAAAAAUGGAAAAAAUACAAAAAAUUGUCUACGCGUUCCGGUGGAUUCGAAAUUGCGCUCAGAUUUGUUAUUCUAUUAGAUGAAAUGAGAAGAAGAGAGGACAGAUAGUAUCAAAUUGAAACUUACGACAUCUUCGACUUAAUCUAAUGUGCACGAUAACAAGUGAGACUGUUUGUGUAAAUUAUUGUGCGUACACAGCAGCAUUUUUCGCAAUUUGUAGAACCCAACUAAGAACCCCUUGUGUACAAUCGUACAGCAUUAUUUAACGUUACCCACCACAAAGCCCUCGACAAUUUCCCCAGCGCUCAAGUCUCAUCUGAUGCCGCAGAUGAGAUUCGAACCUUGGUACCUCUGCGCAUGAGGCAAGCAGUUUGCCAGUGCGCCAAAGAGAGAGGUGCUUGACAAAUUUUAAAACUUUUACAUUUGAAAACUAUCUCAUUUGAAGUUGGGUUACAUUAAAUUGC